AGAUGGAAACGGAGAGCAAGGGACGGGUGUCCCUAGAUGGACGAAGAAGAAGGGCUCCGUGCGUGUAUUUGUGUGUGUAUCUGUGAGAAGUGUCGAAAAGCGGAGAUGAGG
ensembl:ncRNA C01B7.16 ncRNA